rnacentral:rRNA from 1 species
GAUGAACGCUAGCGGCAGGCCUAAUACAUGCAAGUCGAACGGUGUAGCAAUACACAGUGGCGCACGGGUGCGUAACACGUAUGCAACCUACCUUACAUUGGGGGAUAGCUUUUCGAAAGGGAGAUUAAUACCGCAUAAGACAGUAACUAGGCAUCUAGUAGCUGUUAAAGAUUUAUCGAUGUAAGCUGGGCAUGCGUCCAAUUAGUUAGUUGGCGAGGUAAUGGCUUACCAAGACGAUGAUUGGUAGGGGAACUGAGAGGUCAAUCCCCCACACUGGCACUGAGAUACGGGCCAGAUUCCUACGGGAGGCAGCAGUAGGGAAUAUUGGGCAAUGGGCGCAAGCCUGACCCAGCCAUGCCGCGUGCAGGAAGAAGGCGUUAUGCGUUGUAAACUGCUUUUAUAUAGGAAGAAACGACCCUUGCGAGGGGCAUUGACGGUACUGUAUGAAUAAGUACCGGCUAACUCCGUGCCAGCCGCCGCCGUAACAC